GUUUACAGCACAUGAACUUUGGGGGACACACUUAAACCAUAGUGCCGUCUUCAGUCUGAGAAGAAUUUCUGUCUUUCAUUGAAGUUCCAAAGGCUUCUUAUUUUGAUGACUUUGCCUAAAGAAGGGAUUCUACAGCCAAAUGCUUUCUUUUUAACAUACCGAAUGAGUAAAAGUGCAAAAUAAGUACAGAACUAUCAAACAGCAACAAAUGUGCUUCUGCUGCCUACCACAGAAUUUUCCUUGCCUCAGAGUUGAUGAUGAAUGCAGUCCUGCUCCACUUUGAUUCCAUCUGGCUCUGGAAGGUGUUUCUGAAGAUUUGUGAACAGCAUUUGAAUUUGUUUGUUUUUAUUUAUAUUGUCUUUUUACUAUGAUGUAUAAAUAUGUCCUGUAAUGUCAUUGAUCUAUAUGAUGAGUGAGACAAUCAAGUGUUAAAAUGGAACUUGUUGAUUAGGAUAUUUAUACCAUAGUUUAGUUUUCUUAAGAAACUCUGACAGACACGAUAUUUAAAAUGACUAAAUUUACACUUUGACAUAAGGCUACUAAAAGGUAGAAUAUACCAUUGAGAUAUGCCACUUGAAAAAACUACUUUUAAAAAAAUGGCAUUACUGGUGUCAUGAAGAAAAGAAAUGCUUUUAUCUCAACCCUGGUUUCAAAAAUUUGUGUAAAAAUUUUCACCUCAAUAAAUAGUUUACUUCUGUGUAGAAAAGGAGACUUAUG
rnacentral:lncRNA from 1 species